rnacentral:rRNA from 1 species
GAUCAUGGCUCAGGACGAACGCUGGCGGCGCGCCUAACACAUGCAAGUCGAACGAGCGAGAGAGAGCUUGCUUUCUCGAGCGAGUGGCGAACGGGUGAGUAACACGUGAGGAACCUGCCUCAAAGAGGGGGAUAACAGUUAGAAAUGACUGCUAAUACCGCAUAAGCGCACGGUACCGCAUGGUACAGUGUGAAAAACUCCGGUGGUGUGAGAUGGAUCCGCGUCUGAUUAGG